UACGGAGGGGGCUAGCGUUGUUCGGAAUUACUGGGCGUAAAGCGCACGUAGGCGGCUUUGUAAGUCAGGGGUGAAAGCCCGGAGCUCAACUCCGGAAUUGCCUUUGAGACUGCAUCGCUUGAAUCACGGAGAGGUGGGUGGAAUUCCGAGUGUAGAGGUGAAAUUCGUAGAUAUUCGGAAGGAACACCAGUGGCGAAGGCGACUUACUGGACACAUAUUGACGCUGAGGUGCGAAAGCGUGGGGAGCAAACAGG
rnacentral:rRNA from 1 species